rnacentral:rRNA from 1 species
UACGUAGGUGGCAAGCGUGGUCCGGAAUUACUGGGUGUAAAGGGCGUGGAGGCGGGAUAGCAAGUCAGAUGUGAAAUUCCGGGGCUUAACCCCGGCACUGCAUCUGAAACUGUUAUUCUUGAGUGUCGGAGAGGAAAGUGGAAUUCCCAGUGUAGCGGUGAAAUGCGUAGAGAUUGGGAGGAACGCCAGUGGCGAAGGCGGCUUUCGGGACGAUAACUGACGAUGAGGCGCGAAAGCGUGGGGAGCAAACAGG